GAUUUCAAAUGGAAAUAUGGUCAAAAACAAAGUUGAUCCUCUCAUCAGUAUGUACAACUUUUAUUUUGAUCACUUCUUCAUCCGUCAAAGUGAUAGUUAUACUAUUCACAAUAAUCACAUUUCUCUCAUCUGGUUUAUAAAUAUCAACACAGAUAUGUCAAUUUUGUAAACAUUGGUAGUAUCACUUUGUCGGAUGAAGAAGUGACCAAAAUAAAAGUUGUAGAUCCUGAUGGGAGGAUCAACUUUGUUUUUGACCAUAUUUCCAUUUGAAAUC
rnacentral:pre_miRNA from 1 species